rnacentral:rRNA from 1 species
AAUAGAUACCCCGGUAGUCCACGCCGUAAACGAUGAGUGCUAGGUGUUGCGGGUAUCGACCCCUGCAGUGCCGUAGUAAACACAAUAAGCACUCCGCCUGGGGAGUACGGCCGCAAGGCUGAAACUCAAAGGAAUUGACGGGGGGCCCGCACAAGCGGUGGAGCAUGUGGUUUUAAUUCGACGCAACGCGAAGAACCUUACCAAGGCUUGACAUCCACAGAAUCCUGCAGAGAUGCGGGAGUGCCCUUCGGGGAGCUGUGAGACAGGUGGUGCAUGGUUGUCGUCAGCUCGUGUCGUGAGAUGUUGGGUUAAGUCCCGCAACGAGCGCAACCCUUAUCUUUAGUUGCCAGCACUUUGGGGUGGGCACUCUAGAGAGACUGCCCCGGGGACGACCGGGGAGGAAGGCGGGGAUGACGUCAAAUCAUCAUGCCCCUUAUGUCUUGGGCUACACACGUGUUACAAUGGGCGGUACAGACGGAAGCGAGCGUGAGGUGAGCGAAACGAGAAGCGUCUAAGUUCGAUUGUCU